UACGAAGGGUGCAAGCGUUAAUCGGAAUUACUGGGCGUAAAGCGCGCGUAGGUGGUUUUGCAAGUCGAGUGUGAAAGCCCCGGGCUCAACCUGGGAACUGCAUUCGAGACUGCAUUACUCGAGUAUGGGAGAGGGCAGUGGAAUUUCGGGUGUAGCGGUGAAAUGCGUAGAUAUCCGAAGGAACAUCAGUGGCGAAAGCGACUGCCUGGCCCAAUACUGACACUCAAGUGCGAAAGCGUGGG
rnacentral:rRNA from 1 species